rnacentral:piRNA from 1 species
GUUUAAUAAGAAUUUCAGCUUUGGGU